rnacentral:lncRNA from 1 species
AUAUUAUUUAAAGUUUUCACUGUGAACUUGUUAGAGAUCGCCUAUGUGCAUCCUUAGUUACAGAUUGAAACUAUCGUUACUAUUUAUAUUAUGUAAAGUUUUCACUGUGAACUUGUUAGAGAUCGCCUAUGUGCAUCCUUAGUUACAGAUUGAAACUAUCGUUUCUAUUUAUAUUGUGUAAAGUUUUCACUGUGAACUUGUUAGAGAUCGCCUAUGUGCAUUCUUAGUUACAGAUUGAAACUAUCGU